rnacentral:tRNA from 1 species
GGCCGCGUGGUCAAGUGGUUAAGACGUUGCCCUCUCAAGGCGAAGUCAGGGGUUCAAUUCCCCUCGCGGCUACCA